AAUUGCAAUUAAGGGCCCAAGAUGUAAUUUGUGAAAAUUGCAAGUAAUGGCCCAAAGGUUUGAAUAAUUAAAUUCAAACCUAUAUUUUUUUUUCUUUAUAAUUUUGGGACCACAAUCCCAUUUUUAUAUUAUUUUUCUCUCUUUUUCUCACGUUGCUCGGCGUUUUCUCGCAAGGGGGGAUUAUUUUCUUUUUCUUCAGAUUAUAUUGACAAAGAUAGUGGUGAAAAAGGAGUUGUGAAGGGGAACUUGUUAUUCAAAACACAAGGAGCGAGUCUGGCCGAGAAAGCACCAGAGGUGUAACUAUGGUGUAUGAGACACCAUCUUUUACGUUGCCUCUUAUUUUAGAUUAUACAAUGUAUCUUGUGCCAACUUAGGACAUAUCUUUUUUGUGAAGCAUGUAAACUCUAAUCCUUUUUAUUAAAAGUAUUUAUAUGACCAAGAGGAUUAUGUCUGUCCCUCUUGAUUUAUGAUCUGAUUUGAAUAUCAUGACAUGAAGAUCCUGUCUGUCCCUCAUGGUUCUAAUUGCUUUUUGAGAUAUUUUAAGACCUGUGAUAUAUUGUCUUGGAUGUAUCAUGGUAGAAAUUUUUCUACCAUGAUAAGGGUAUGAUAAGGGUUCAAUGAAAAAAAAAUAAUUUGUUGAAUUAAUAAUUUGCGAAAAAUCGGUUUGUAAAUUUGAGGGUGUUACACAAGUAUCUUCUACUUCUAGUCUGUUGUUCAUCAAUUUGUACAAACCCUGUUUCUUGCAUGUUCCAUGCAAUAUAUUUGGGUUGAGAGGCUAGUUGGAUCUUACUGAUUCACCAAGAUUCAAGAAUAGUGCGUUGCAACCCCCACCCACUAUAGCCUUGCCUUGAUUAGACCUUUUUGGUAUGAACCCAAUUUUUGACUUCGAGGGGCAUUUGUGUGGCAUAACCCUAACUAGAUUCCCAGCUCUAAUUAAAAGUUAUUGGAAGUAACUAUAUAUAUCUAUCAUCUGUCUUAUACUUCACGUGUCUUGCCAUAGGGGCAACGAAUAAAUAUUUCAAGUGUCCUAGUUAGACAUUGAUUAACUUUAAUUUGACCUCGUUGAUUCAUUUGUUUUGUUGGGGAAACAGUCUGAUUCUGAUGAUUCUAUGUAGUGGGACUUACUAUAUACCAACACUAUACUAUUUGUCCACUUUUUCCAUCAUCCUCAUCCUCACAAAUAAACAGAUCAAUAACAACUAGCCAAUGAUGUUUAAUUAGUAAACCUUUGUAAUGUGACCUACAGUUAACUGUUGUAAGUAUCAAUCAAUGCAUAUCAUAUUAUUAAUGGUGCAGCCAUUAGGUAUUAAUGAGUCUUAAUUGUAUGCUAUAUUAAUAUGCAUCAUUGAAGGUUGAGAUUUUUUUGUAAGCUAAACUUAUUUUGAAAUCAAUGGUUUACGUCAUGCCAUUAUGAGCGCGUGUUGCCAUAUAUCAAUGGUGCCCUGUAUUUUAGUUAUUUAUAGCUAGUUUGAGUGUUGGAUUCCUUUAGGUAAUCAUAUAUAUGCCAUAUUUCAUAUUUGCAGUCUACUAAUCUCCUACUAUUAUUGACCACAUUUUAUCAUUGAACUUGGGAAUUCUGAUGAAAUGGGUAUCCUGUCCCAUUAUCGUACUGUAAUUAUGAAGAGAAUCAAGUCCAGGAUUUGUGGGGCAUCUUUUUUCUGACAAGGGCUUCCUUGCAGGACUUUGAAACUCUAGAGAGCAAGUUAUUUAGUUGAACACUUCAAUUAGCGUGAGAUAGUCGACACAAAUAUGGAAGUGGUUGAUGUGUAGCAAACUAUACAUGUAUGCAAAUUCUUUUUUUCAAAUUUAAAGCUACGUCCUAAUUAAUUAUACAGAAACUAUGGAACAGUAGGAUCUACUAGAGAUCUUGGCCGCCUCCCAUGUCUAAAUAUGCUACUACAAAAGUGCAAGUGAUCUUGACCAAACACGCACUAAAACCUGAAUCCCAUUGCCAAUAAAAGAAAGGUGGACAAGCUUCCGAAUGCCACUCAUAUCCUGGUGGACCCUCCGCUUUCUUAUUAUAUUGUAAUUAUACAAUAAGGAAAAUAUUAUUAGUCAAAUGAAUCA